CUAUCUUCACCUUCCAUGGAAAGAUUACAAAAAUUGAAACAGCUUUUAGUUGGUACUUUAUGUCAUGCGAAAUAUGUCGUAGAAAGGUUAAACCAAGAGGUGAACAUUUGUGGUGUGAUCGUUGUAACAAACUGGCAGGCUUCCCAAUCCCAAGGUAUAGAAUUGAACUGAAAGUUGAAGAUGACACAGGAUUGACAACAUUCAUUUUAUUUGAUUCUAUGGCUGAAAAAUUACUCCAUAUAUCAGCAAAAGAACUUAUAAAUAAAUGUUCACAGGUACCUGAAGAGUUUGACAUGCCUAUGUGUAAGCGACUAAAUUUCUAGUUCGAAAUAAAUCAAACAAGUAAAAUAGUUUCACAAAGUGCGAAUUUGUAUUGAUGAUUGUGUGGUACAAUUCUCUGGAAUUACAAAAGAGUGAUCCUCUGAUUCGAUCUCCUUGCAAAACUUAUUGAUUAGAUUUAUGGUAAUGUGGAUUUGACUUGAACACAAAAUAUCCUUCAAUUUGGUUGAGGGAUGGAUCGAAGAUUACUGAAACGGAAUUACAAUGAAUCUCUGGCUAUGAGCUUGUUUAGAAAUCCUUUGUUCUUCGCGUUCUUCGUGUUCUUCGUGCGUUCUUCGU